rnacentral:rRNA from 1 species
CUGACGGUAGUCGUAUGCUCGUCUCCGAGACUAAGCCAUGCAAGUCCAAGUACACGUCCUUGAACGACGGAAACUGCGAACGGCUCAUUAAAUCAGUUGCGAUCUACUCGGCGUUCCGCGCCGCCGGAUAACCGUAGUAAUUCUAGGGCUAAUACGUGCGAAGCGCCCGAAGCCGCGAGGCGACGGGCGUUCUCGCCGGAUGUAGGAACCGACCCGGGGACCGCCGGGGCAACCCGGCGCCCCCGAGACGGGGCGAACCACGGUGAAAUGACGGAUCGUCGGCCCCGCGCCGGCGACUCGCCGAAUGAGUUUCUGACCUAUCAACUCGAGACGGCGGGGUAGAGGCCCGCCGCGGUAACGACGGGUAACGGGGAAUCAGGGUUCGAUUCCGGAGAGGGAGCCCGAGAAACGGCUACCACUUCCAAGGAAGGCAGCAGGG